rnacentral:rRNA from 1 species
AUGCCGCGUGUGUGAUGAAGGUCUUAGGAUCGUAAAGCACUUUCGCCAGGGAUGAUAAUGACAGUACCUGGUAAAGAAACCCCGGCUAACUCCGUGCCAGCAGCCGCGGUAAUACGGAGGGGGUUAGCGUUGUUCGGAAUUACUGGGCGUAAAGCGCGCGUAGGCGGAUUGGAAAGUUGGGGGUGAAAUCCCGGGGCUCAACCCCGGAACUGCCUCCAAAACUAUCGGUCUAGAGUUCGAGAGAGGUGAGUGGAAUUCCAAGUGUAGAGGUGAAAUUCGUAGAUAUUUGGAGGAACACCAGUGGCGAAGGCGGCUCACUGGCUCGAUACUGACGCUGAGGUGCGAAAGUGUGGGGAGCAAACAGGAUUAGAUACCCUGGUAGUCCACACCGUAAACGAUGAAUGCCAGUCGUCGGGCAGUAUACUGUUCGGUGACACACCUAACGGAUUAAGCAUUCCGCCUGGGGAGUACGGUCGCAAGAUUAAAACUCAAG